rnacentral:hammerhead_ribozyme from 1 species
CCACUGCUGAAGAGUCCCAAACUAAGGCGAAACAGCUGUCCAGUAC